rnacentral:lncRNA from 1 species
GGAAGCAAGGGGCUUUUGCUGGAGGUCCCUGCAUACCUGAGGUCUUUUGAAGUUCUAAUUACCUGAAUUAUACCACCAACUUCCUGGGAACUCAAGCAUGGCCCAUCUGAAGAAAACCUCAGAGAACACCAACAGUUAAAUGUACCUACAUAUUCUGCUUCAUUUCUGAUUCUGCUGGAAAUUCAAGGUUGCUCUGAAAGUUGUCUUAUUUAUUCCCAUGGAGAUGACGACAAAUUCAGAGUGGAAUAGCACUAUAUGAUAGAGCAAAUUCUGAGCUACAAAACACUGUUUUUCAACAUAAUCGCCACCAUUAGCUGUGCAUUUUCACCAGUAAUGAGUGAGAAACUGUAUGCUAUCCUUGUAAAAAUAAUAAUAAAAAUGAAAAUCUGUACCAGCAGUGGUGACCUGCUGUUGCCACUGCUGAAACAAGCUACUCACUGCCUCAUUGUGCUAACAUCCUCUGUUAUGUCACCAUGAACAUUCAGCAAGCAUCGGUGAAUGUCAGUGGGUACCAUUUCUUUCCAUAUAUAGGAAUUCACUGACACACCUUUGCUUCAUACACACUUCCAUGUCAGAUGCCAUUCUGUCAGACUGCCCUUCUGCUGCCAUCUGUUGCAUGGCAACAAAACUUAACUGAGUAUUGGUGGGAAGGUUCAACCUCAGCUGCCAUACCACCAAUAUCUGCCUUUGACAUCACUGGCCAGCAUAAUAAAGGAGGCAUUAUGUUCAGAUUAGCCCUUAUAUGUUAAGUAUAUAUAUAAUGGUUGAUGCCUCAGUUAAUGUUUCAUGUAACUCAUUUUUAAGCAAUUUUUUCUUUAUUUUGAUUGAAUUUCUGAAAGCCUUAUAAAUAGUGAUAUUAGUAGAAAGUUCUGAGAGCUUAUUUCAUGUAAGAUUAAUAACACAUUGCAUGCUAAACUGCCCUACUGCUCAUAAUCUAGUUUAUCCUGAUUAAAUGUAGAGGUAAGAGUUCUCUUAAAGUUCUGUCUUUCUGAAUUACAAACAGCUUAGCUGUUUUUUACCUUCUCAUUUGUAGGAAGCUCAGAUGUGGCUUAGUAAACAAUGGCAAUAUUAUCUGUAAUCAGACACCUGUCCAUCCCAUUACAACUGUCACUUGUCCCAAUUUUUUUUUCCUUAUAUGGAAAAUGUUGGCACUGCAAUGCAACGAGAAGGUAAAAAGCCAUGUGCUAAUCCUUUUAUUAACCUGUUAGUAGGUAUGCCAGCC